CUCAGUGUCUUUAUAAGCUUCAGUCUCUCUUCUCCUCACACUCCAACCCUGCUCACCUCUCAGCUGGACAGUAAGGGACGUUUACACCACACACUGACAACAUGCUGGGGACCCUCUGCACUCUCAUCACUGCUCUAACAUAUGUUGAUGCAGUGAAAGUGGUGACCCAGACGCCUGCUGUCCACACAGUUUCUACAGGACAACAAGUUGUUCUCAACUGCAACAUUCAGAGAGAUGAUAGCCAAUAUGUCGUCUGGUAUAAACAGGUUCCUGGUGAAGCUCCUCAGUUUGUUCUGGAGUUUCAUUAUUCUAACAGCGCACUCAACUUUGGAUCAGGAUUCUCCUCAGACAGAUUCAACUGUAAAUCCUCAUCAAACAUAGAUUACCAGUUCAUCAUAAAGCGGACAGAGGCAGGAGACUCUGCUGUCUAUUACUGUCAGACAUGGGACAACUCUGCUAAAGAGCAAGUAUCACAGUGAUUCACACUGUGACAAAAACCUCAGUGAGAGACUCACUGCAGAUUUUAUGAAUUCUGACCAAAAUCAAACAAUUAAAAUCAGUAAACUUGGAACAAAACAAGAACAGACAUUAAAUAAAUUCCCUGAAAGAGACAAAAGUGUUUGAAACAAGUCCAGCAGUGUUUUGGAAUAUAAUGAGAAUGAUGAAAUGAAGAGACAUUGACAGUGAAAGUUGGUCUCAACAGGAUGUUUCAGUUCCACUACCCUCAUUAGUGAGAGUCAGGAGGUUUUUGUACAGCCAUGUGUACAAACUGAAUCACUGUGGUAUUCGGACAAGGCACCAAGCUGAUUGUGACAAGUAAGUACUUUUUAACUCAUCAUA